CAAGCCAGAAGAGGAGCAUCGCCCAGGUAAGGUAUCGGAGGAGCCGUAAUCCGCUGAAGAUACUUAAGGGGGAGCGAUGCCGAGACGAAAUACAGUGCGGCUGUAUUUUGCCGACCGCAGGGGCUGAAUCCUCUGGGUUGUCACCAGCAUCGUUCUGCAAGGGCAGAGCGUUUAGCAAGGUGGAGCGCUUCUGGGUGU
rnacentral:ncRNA from 2 species